GCGUGCAACCCACCAAAGGCUGACUGUCAGU
rnacentral:piRNA from 1 species